rnacentral:hammerhead_ribozyme from 1 species
AUCCAGCUGACGAGUCCCACAUAGGAACAAACGCGCGUCAAACUGGAU